AGAGCACACAAUGAAUGCCUAGACGUAUAAUACCGAUGAAGGACGUGGAAGACUGCGAAAAGUCUUGGGGAGCUGUCAACAAGCUUUGAUCCAGGAAUAUCCGAAUGGGGAAACCCAGCAUGAGUCAUGUCAUGUUAACUGUCCCUGAAUAUAUAGGGGAUUUGUAGGGAACCGACUGAACUGAAACAUCUUAGUAGGUCGAGGAAGAGAAAAUAAAUAAUGAUUUCCGGAGUAGUGGCGAGCGAAACGGAAUCAGCCCAAACCUUUUUCAUUUUUGCCUGGUAAUUUAUUACUGGGUAAAUAAGUUUUCAGACGAAUAUGAACAAGGGGUUGUGACAUUACACAAGACCAUAUCAGAUCACUAAAGCUUGCUUUAGGAAUCUGAUGUGCGAUCACGAACUGAAAAUAGUGAGUAAAGUAAGAAAACUUUGUAGUUAGCGGAAUAGUUUGAAUGACUAGCCAAAGAGCGUGAAAGCCGCGUAUGCGAAAACUACAUAGACUUUAUAUGUGUUUUGUCGAGUAGGUCGGGGCACGAGAAACCCUGAUUGAAUCCGGCAGGACCACCUGCCAAGGCUAAAUAUAUUAUGCGAUCGAUAGUGAACUAGUACCGUGAGGGAAAGGUGAAAAGAACCCCGGGAGGGGAGUGAAAUAGAUCCUGAAAUUGUGUGCUUACAAGGAGUCGGAGCGGAUUUAUUCCGUGACGGCGUGCUUUUUGUAGAACGAUCCAGCGAGUUAAUUUCUAGUGCAAGGUUAAGUCAAGUGACGGAGCCACAGUGAAAGCGAGCCUGAAUAGGGCGAUUAAGUACUAGGGAUUAGACCCGAAACCGGGUGACCUAACCAUGAGCAGGUUGAAGCUACUGUAAUAGGUAGUGAAGGACCGAACCGUCGUACGCAGCAAAGUGCUCGGAUGACUUGUGGUUAGAGGUGAAAUGCCAAUCGAACUCGGAGAUAGCUGGUUCUCCUCGAAAUAGCUUUAGGGCUAGCGUCAAUUAAGAUAGCCAACGGGGGUAGAGCUCUGUAAAGGACUGGGGGGAGCAAUCCUACCCACCCUUAACAAACUACGAAUACCGUUGGUGGUAAAUUGGCAGUUAGAACGUCGGGGCUAAGCUCGGCGCUCGAAAGGGAAACAGCCCAGACCAUCGUCUAAGGUCCCCAAAUAUAUACUCAGUGGGAAACAAGGUGAGAUUUCUUAAACAGCUAGGAUGUUGGCUUAGAAGCAGCCAUUCAUUUAAAGAGUGCGUAACAGCUCACUAGUCAAGAGAUCUUGCGUGGAAAAUGUAACGGGGCUAAAGUAUAUUACCGAAGACAUGGAUGUGACGUACAUUUACUGUACGCACGUGGUAGAGGAGCGUUCCUAUCUGCGGUGAAGCUCAACUGGAAAGUUGGGUGGAGCGUUAGGAAGUGAGAAUGCUGGAAUGAGUAACCAUAAGACAGGUGAGAAUCCUGUCGGCCGUAAGAGCAAGGUUUCCUGAGCCAUGGUAAUCAUCUCAGGGUUAGUCGGGCCUAAGCCGAGGCGCAUAGCGUAGGCGAUGGACAUCAGGUUAAUAUUCCUGAACCGGUUAUAAUUUGUACACUGUUCACGGUGGAGUAGUCGAAGCGGAUUCAUGGUAUGUAUCCGUCCAACCUAGUGGGAACGCUAAGGGAGUGAGAAUUGUUCUUCGGAACGAUGAUUUCGGUGAGGACACUGGCUAGAAAAGCAGAUGUACGCGUGAUUAUAGCCGCCCGUACCGCAAACCAACACAGGUGCUCGAGUCGAGUAGACUCAGGCUUACGAGAGAACCUUCGCUAAGGAACUCGGCAAUACAGCGACCGUAACUUCGGGAUAAGGUCCGCCCCCACAUCUAACGAUGUGAGCCGUGUUCAACUAACUUAGUAGAGGUGGUUAGAGAAUAAUUGAGUAUGCAUAGUAGUGAUACUGUGUAUCAAAAACCUUUUUUUAAAUCACAAUUUUUUACUGAGAUAGACAUAAUCAUGAUUGAUUAAACAUAUCGUGUCAUUUUGCCUCUGAGGCGAAGUGUCAUGAUUCUUGAGCACGACCUCUCGCAUCCUUGGAUGUGGGGGCCGCAGCAAAAGAGCCCACGGAACUGUUUACCAAAAACACAGGUCUCUGCUAAUUCGAAAGAAGAUGUAUAGGGGCUGACUCCUGCCCAGUGCUGGAAGGUCAAGGGGAGCGCUUUACGGUGCGAACUGAAGCCCCAGUGAACGGCGGCGGUAACUAUAACCGUCCUAAGGUAGCGAAAUUCCUUGUCAGGUAAGUUCUGACCCGCACGAAUGGAGUAAUCAUGUGGGCACUGUCUCAGCGAAGGACUCGGUGAAAGUGCAUUGGCGGUAAAGAUGCCGUCUGUCCGUACCAGGACGAGAAGACCCCAUGGAGCUUUACUACAGCUUUACAUUGGUCUCGAUUACAACAUGUGUAGCAUAGGUGGGAGCCUUUGAAGCAGAUACGCUAGUAUUUGUGGAGGCACCAAGUGAAAUACCACCCUUGUUGUGAUUUAGACCUCACCAUUACCAUUAUCUGGUAAUGGGACCGUGUAUGGUGGGUAGUUUAACUGGGGCGGUUGCCUCCUAAAGAGUAACGGAGGCGUUCAAAGGUUGGCUAGCUUCGGAUGGAAAUCGUAGUGGUAGUGUAUACGCAUAAGCCAGCUUGA
rnacentral:rRNA from 1 species